rnacentral:misc_RNA from 1 species
GGAGUUGUUGGAAGCUGUUGCUGGUCCAUCGCCGAACUGUUGCUGCUGCGUUGCUUGCCUCGCUAUUGCUGGACAACGAGAGGGAGGCAGCAAGGAGAAGGGAGGAGAUGAGAGGAUGAGGAGAGAAGAGGGGGAAAGAGAGAAAGGGGAGGCUGAAGGUGGAGCGACGGGAGAGGAGAGGGGAAGAAGAUGAGAGGCGGCUGU